rnacentral:lncRNA from 1 species
AGACACGUCAGUGUAAUUGUGAAUGGCGAGAGCCCUGAAAUACAGCUGGACAGCAGCGGUCUACAUCACUGCCCCUUCUGCAGAUACAAAGGGUCAAAAUGUGAUAUCGACCAUCACAUUAAAUGCCAUGCCUCGGUUAAAUACAGAGGUCUGCAGAGGAGCUUUCAGGAAGCAGGAAGAGAAGACGGGAGGAAAAAAAAGCUACAGGUACGUGUCAUAUACUGUAAUGUGUGAUGUUGUCUUAGAGCAAUUGUGAAAGACUAUAGUCUUACCACCCUCCCACCACUAAUACAUUUCAGGAUAAAGAUCUCUGCACAAAAAGGGCUAGAGUUGCUCCAACAGCAUCCAGCUCUGAAGGAUCAGGUCAUGUAUAGACUGUUAAUCCAGGUGAAUCCAUGUAGGCCUGCACAUAUUCAGAGUGUUUGUGAGAUAUGAUUGAUUCUAUUAGGCUUCUACUUCCAAAUUAAGUUGUACACAUAUCUCCAUCAAUAUACAAGUUAUAGCCUACUCCAUGGCUGAUCUAUUGCGCAUACUAGGGCCUACUUUUAUUAUUCCAUUGUAUUGGCCUACUCAACAUUACAGACAACAAUCUGUUUUAUUUCCAGACAAAACUGAAGACCAGAAACUGGAACCUGGGAACCUGGAAGAUUAUGUUGUCCUGAAGGACACAAUUCAGGCAGCAGCAUGGUGCCAGUUACAGUCCUUCAAGGACAGCGUUUCUCUCCCAGAGGUCAUUGGGAUGGAAGGUUGGGAGCAGAUGGCAGCUUCAACACAGCGCAAAUCCCAUGACGGCGGGGAUGAGGAAGAAACGUGGAAACCAUUCCAAUUCUCAUUCAGAUUACAUACUGACUAUGAACUGUUCUGUGUGGAGAGGAUGGACAGGAGAAACCUGAAGGUGUUUGCCUCUUUUGAGUCAAACACCUCUCCCCCUCCCCGUCCCCCCUCCCCGUGA